rnacentral:rRNA from 1 species
AUUGAACGCUGGCGGCAGGCCUAACACAUGCAAGUCGAGCGAGUGGCGGACGGGUGAGUAAUGUCUGGGAAACUGCCUGAUAGAGGGGGAUAACUACUGGAAACGGUAGCUAAUACCGCAUACCAUCAGAUGUGCCCAGAUGGGAUUAGCUUGUUGGUGGGGUAAAGGCUCACCAAGGCGAAGAUCCCUAGCUGGUCGGAGAGGAUGACCAGCCAUACUGGGACUGAUACAUGGCCCAGACUCCGACGGGAGGCAGCAUGGGGGAAUAUUGCACAAUGGGCGCAAGCCGGAUGCAGCCAUGCCGCGUGUAUGAAGAAGGCCUUCGGGUUGUAAAGUACUUUCAGCGGGGAGGCGUUACCCGCAGAAGAAGCACCGGCUAACUCCGUGCCAGCAGCCGCGGUAAUAC